GAACGAUGAAACCACUUCGGUGGUGGAUUAGUGGCGAACGGGUGAGUAACACGUGGGCAAUCUGCCCUUCACUCUGGGACAAGCCCUGGAAACGGGGUCUAAUACCGGAUAACACUCUGUCCCGCAUGGGACGGGGUUGAAAGCUCCGGCGGUGAAGGAUGAGCCCGCGGCCUAUCAGCUUGUUGGUGGGGUAAUGGCCUACCAAGGCGACGACGGGUAGCCGGCCUGAGAGGGCGACCGGCCACACUGGGACUGAGACACGGCCCAGACUCCUACGGGAGGCAGCAGUGGGGAAUAUUGCACAAUGGGCGAAAGCCUGAUGCAGCGACGCCGCGUGAGGGAUGACGGCCUUCGGGUUGUAAACCUCUUUCAGCAGGGAAGAAGCGAAAGUGACGGUACCUGCAGAAGAAGCGCCGGCUAACUACGUGCCAGCAGCCGCGGUAAUACGUAGGGCGCAAGCGUUGUCCGGAAUUAUUGGGCGUAAAGAGCUCGUAGGCGGCUUGUCACGUCGGAUGUGAAAGCCCGGGGCUUAACCCCGGGUCUGCAUUCGAUACGGGCUAGCUAGAGUGUG
rnacentral:rRNA from 1 species